UGCCAAUGCUACACUUCCUUAGCUAGGAGCUAGCAAUGCUACGUGGAAUUGCAUGUCAGAAAAUAUUUAAAAAGUCAACCUGCCAUCUCUCCUGCCCUGCUCGUCCAAGUUCCCACUCUAGUUCCAGUACUGGCAGGCUUCACCACUAUAUCCCAGCAGGGUCCUGCUUGGCAUGUUCUCCCAGGUAUCUUCUGAGAGGUUGUUCUCUCUCCACUUCUCAUUCAAGUCUGAAGAUGCUUACAGUCACCUGCAGUACUUCUAAAUCAGAGUUUUGAGAUGGAAGAGGUCACAGCUCCAAUGAUCUCAGCCGAAGAAGAUGAGGAAGAAGACCAGCACAAGUGCUACGACUCAGUGACCUCAUGGGAAACCGUGGGGAGAGAUAGCAUUCAAGAAGGAACAUGGGGAAGAGUAUCCAGAGUACAGAGUGGAAGCCUUUGCCCUCCUCUUUCAGCUCUCCAAGGAAUGUCUUCCUGCCCGGUGUCCUGGACAACUGCCUGUCUUUAGAAUUAACAAAUGCUCUGACUUGCAGAGUCUCUCUCAAAUCAGCUUUUGCUGGUAUCAGGAUUUCUCUGGAGGACUCAACAAAGUCCUCUCCAUGCCUGAGAUUCCUACAAUGAUUGAAAUUCCAUUGUUUCUUCCCCGUGGAAUAACCAUAAGCUUCCUGAGGGAGUGCACCUCAGAGAGGCCUCGCCUGGGACUUGAAAGUAAGGAGAAAACAGCACAAGAAUUUUCUGGGGAAUAAAGAUGUCCUCUGAAGUUCUAAGCCAAGCAGAGAGAAAACUCACAUUUAUUUUAUAAAAGGUCAACUCUUAGGAUAUGUUCCGAUAUUACUAGCUUUUCUCAACACUAUGACAGAACAUCUGACAGGAACAAUUUAAAGGAAGAAGUUUUUAUAUUAAUUCUUGGUUUGGGGCAGAUGCAACCCAUCAUGGCAGAAGGCAGGGUGGUGGAAGCACAAAGCCACUGGUUACAUUGUGACAGAAAGCAGAGAUCAGAGUAAGAUCUGAGCUGGUCCUCAGCUGGCUUCCUCUCUUUUUAUUCAAUCUGGGAUUCUAGUUUAUGAGAUGUUGCUACUGAGGGUGGGUUCUUUCUCCAAUGGGUAAACAUCUCUAGAAAUGUUCUCACGAAUACACCUAGAAUUGUGUCUCCUAUGUGAUUCCAGAUCCAGUUAAGUUGACAGUUGAAGAUAAAACCAUUAUACUUCUUAGUCUCAUUUAUUCCUUGAACUAGACAAGAAGGAGCCCAGACAAGGUUGCUGUACCAGCAUCUGGAAUAUCCAGAUUGUUCUCCAUUCUGGUUAGGUUUGUUUGCUUUGUUUUCUUGUCAACUUGACAUAAGCGACAGUUUUCUGAGAAGAAACACAACUGAGAAAAUGCCUCCAUCAGACUGCCUAAAAGUCUGUAGGGUGGUUUAUUGUUGUUGUUAGUUGGUCAGUUUUGAUUUGCAUCCAGCCCACUGUACGCUGUGGCAUUUGGACAGGUUCUUGCCUCGAGUUCCUGCUCUGCCUUCAUUUCACUAUACCUAGAAGCUGAAAUAAACUAUUUCCUCC
rnacentral:lncRNA from 1 species